GUAGGUAUAGUUUAACUAAAACGUUAGAUUGUGAUUCUAAAAACAGAGGUUAAAGCCCCCUUACCCACC
rnacentral:tRNA from 1 species